rnacentral:lncRNA from 1 species
GUAACAUCACCAGACUGGGACUGUCAUGGUGCCAGGUAACAUAGCUUUGACUGGGACUGUCAUGGUGCCAGGUAACAGACUGGGACUGUCAUGGUGCCAGGUAACAUUAGGCUGUAUGAAACAGACUGGGACUGUCAUGGUUCCAGGUAACAUUAGGCUGUUUGAAACAGACUGGGACUGUCAUGGUGCCAGGUAACAUCAGGCUGUUUGAAACAGACUGGGACUGUCAUGGUGCCAGGUAACAUCAGGCUGUUUGAAACAGACUGGGACUGUCAUGGUGCCAGGUAACAUUAGGCUGUUUGAAACAGACUGGGACUGUCAUGGUUCCAGGUAACAUCAGGCUGUUUGAAACAGACUGGGACUGUCAUGGUGCCAGGUAACAUCAGGCUGUUUGAAACAGACUGGGACUGUCAUGGUGCCAGGUAACAUCAGGCUGUAUGAAACAGACUGGGACUGUCAUGGUGCCAGGUAACAUCAGGCUGUUUGAAACAGACUGGGACUGUCAUGGUGCCAGGUAACAUUAGGCUGUUUGAAACAGACUGGGACUGUCAUGGUGCCAGGUAACAUUAGGCUGUUUGAAACAGACUGGGACUGUCAUGGUUCCAGGUAACAUUAGGCUGUUUGAAACAGACUGGGACUGUCAUGGUGCCAGGUAACAUUAGGCUGUUUGAAACAGACUGGGACUGUCAUGGUGCCAGGUAACAUUAGGCUGUUUGAAACAGACUGGGACUGUCAUGGUGCCAG